rnacentral:rRNA from 1 species
GGCGACCAUCCAUAGCUGGUCUGAGAGGAUGAUCAGCCACAUUGGGACUGAGACACGGCCCACACUCCGACGGGAGGCAGCAGUGGGGAAUAUUGGACAAUGGGCGCAAGCCUGAUCCAGCCCUGCCGCGUGAGUGAUGAAGGCCCUAGGGUUGUAAAGCUCUUUCACCGGUGAAGAUAAUGACGGUCACCGGAGAAGAAGCCCCGGCUAACUUCGUGCCAGCAGCCGCGGUAAUACGAAGGGGGCUAGCGUUGUUCGGAAUUACUGGGCGUAAAGCGCACGUAGGCAGACAUUUGAGUCAGGGGUGAAAUCCCGGGGGCUCACCCCGGGAACUGCCUUUGAUACUGGGGUGUCUAGAGUAUGGAAGAGGUGAGUGGAAUUCCCGAGUGUAGAGGUGAAUUCGUAGAUAUUCGGAGGAACACCAGUGGCGAAGGCGGCUCACUGGUCCAUUACUGACGCUGAGGUGCGAA